GGUGAGAUGGCCGAGCGGUCUAAGGCGCUAGAUUCAGGUUUCUUUCGGUGGCUUCGCACCCCACUUUCUAGUCAGAAAUGGCGUGGGUUCGAAUCCCACUCUCAUCA